rnacentral:misc_RNA from 1 species
CAGGACUCGCAAGACUCCUACAACCCUGUGAACUUCACUAUAAGCACGUUGCUUCGGCGGGUGUCUCGGCGAGGGUCCCCACUGGGACCUGCGGGGCGCGAAGCCCGCCGGCAGCCUACUAUACUCUGUCUCUUUGCGUUGGCAUCUCGAGAAAAGCAAACAAGUUA